ACACUCGGGCAGUCGCUGACGUAAUGUUAGAGGAAAGUCCAUGCUCGCACUACCUGCGAUGGUAGUAGUGUUUGUGCCAGCCGAAUCAAUAAGACUGGGCAGCGAAAGCUGACGGCGGUGCUAAAACCUAAAGGGUAACCCAUGGUUGAAGGCCUUAAGGUGUCACAGUGACGAAGUGUAUGGGAAACCAUGCAGUGGAACGCGAUAAACCCCGCAAGCGAGAAAUCCAAAUUUGGUAGGAGAAUCUUCCAAGGCGAAAUGAAGUUAAGGAAGGGUAGAAAUACAGAUAAAUGGCUGCCACUUUGUUUACAAAGGACAGAACAUGGCUUACAGAG
rnacentral:RNase_P_RNA from 1 species